AAUCUACAUCUACAUCUACAUCUACAUCUACAUCUACAUCUACAUCUACAUCUACAUCUACAUCUACAUCUACAUCUACAUCUACAUCUACAUCACUUCGUCUGCAGUUGUCCCCACCCACGUCGAAUCUACGCUCAUGCACACUCUUUCACAUCUACCCACGAAAAUCUACGCACAUCUACCUGCCCAGUCAUCCACAUCCACCCAUAACUACAAUCGUCCUCAGUCAUCCGUAUUCACAAACAUCCACAAUCAUCCACAUCCACAAUCAUCCCAAAACAUCCACAAACAUGCACAUCCACAUCCACCCAUAUCCACAACCAUCCACACACACCCACAUGCAUCCGCAAAUAUCCACAUCUACAACCAUCCACAAACCUUUACAUGCCCAAUCAUCUGCAGUCAUCCGUAUCCACAAACAUCCACAAUCAUCCACAAUCAUCCACAUCUACACCCGCAACUACUAUCAUCCACGAACAUCCACAGACAUCCACAAUCACCUACAAACAUCCACAAACCUUUACAUGCCCAAUCAUCCACAUCCACCCAUAACUACAAUCAUCCGCAGUCAUCCGUACCCACAAACAUCCAUAAUCAUCCACAUCGACAAACAUCCACAAUCAUCCACAUCCACAUCUACUACUACUAUCAUCCACGAAUAUCCACAUCCACCCAUAACUACAAUCAUCCACAGUCAUCCACAUCCACAAACAUCCACAAACAUCGACAGUCAUCCACAAACAUCCACAUCCCCAAACAUCCACAAUCAUCCGCAAUCAUCCGCAAACAUCCACACCCAUCCACAAUCAUCCACAUCCACAAACAACCACACACUUGCACAAAUAUCCACAUCCACAAACAUCCACAGCCACGUCCAUAAUCAUACACAUCCACAGUCAGCCACAAAUAUCCACAUCGACAAUCUUCCACAACCAUCCAUACACAUCCACAAUCAUCCACAUCAUCCACAUCCGCAUCAUCCAAAUCAUCCACAUCAUCUACAUCCACACCAUCUACAUCAUCUAGCUCUUUAAGUAAAAGCUAAUAUAGUAAGUAUUACUGUGGUAUUUUUUCAGUAUAAAGUAGCAUAGUAUAGCCAAUCUGUAUUUAUGGAUAGACUAAUUAAAGGCACUGGAAGAAAACGUCUGACAUUUAAAUAGAAAAUAAGAAUUUAAAGUAAGAAAAGUGCCUAAGCAGGAGAUGCUGAGUAAUUAACUGUUCCUCGAUUAACCCCAAAUCCUUCUUAUUUUGACAGCUUUAUUGUUAUUUUAUUUUUAGCACUUACCAUUCAAAUUUUCCUAAAUCCAUGCACAAAGUACUAUGACGGGAAGUCCUCUUUAGGAUGGAGUGAACAAAUCCACGGGGUUGUCAUCAUCACUGCACAGAAAAAUAUGCCCAAUACAAAGUUUGUUGGUCAGGACUGCUUUUUUUUUUUUUUUUUUUUUUUUUAAGGCCUUUAAUACAUCCAAUUCCCUAUGUCUCUCCAUCAAUUCUAAUGGGACUGGGACUGUAGAUCUUUGUUACUUUGUCAGCUGCAUCUGGAAACCAGGUAGCCCAAUUAUAGCACAUACAAAUCCUGCACGUGCAGGAAAUAGGCACAGUAACUGCAAGCAAAG
ensembl:lncRNA